CUGUACUCUCAUUGGAAACAGAAAUUAAGCUUGUCAUUAGAUGCCGGGCCACAGGAGUUGACUGAACAGGGACAGAAGAGGAAUCUCCCUGGACCCUGUUUAUCUUGUGAAAGUGGAGCUUAUCCAGAGGGUGGAUCACUCCUCACAUGGGCCUCUCUCCAUCCCUUUUAGCGAUGAAUAAUCAUCAGUCAUCAGGAGAGGGGAUUAAAAAAUAGAUUUAUUGCUAUUUCUAAAAGUCAGAACUAGAGGAUGAGUAAACACAACAGAUGUAUAAGGACGUGACCUCAGAGCAUUGAGUAGAGUUCCCUGUGCUAUACAAUAUGUUCUCAGAUGGAUCCAGAGGUUGUCAUACAGAGUGAGGGGCACUGAGCAACCUUCAUACUAAUGCAAUAUUAAGGACCGCAUAAUUAGCCACCUUAAUAAAUUUUUUCCAAGAUGGAUAGGUGAUGUUUGGCUUUCUUCAGAAGAAAACCUUCCUCUAAUAGUAUUCUGUGGGAAUCUACGGCAAGAACAAUGAACAGAAAUAUCUGGAAAUAUAUUAAGAUAUAUGUGCAUAUAUUGGACAUUAGCAUCAUACACUAAGC
ensembl:lncRNA